GAUUAACGCUAGCGGCAGGCAUAAUACAUGCAAGUUGAACGGCAGCACAGGUAGCAAUACUGGGUGGCGAGUGGCGCACGGGUGCGUAACACGUAUGCAACCUACCCUAUACAGGCGAAUAACCUUUAGAAAUGAGGGCUAAUACGCCGUAGUAUUACAGAUGGGCAUCUAUUUGUAAUUAAAGAUUUAUCGGUAUAGGAUGGGCAUGCGUCCCAUUAGUUAGUUGGUAAGGUAACGGCUUACCAAGACGAUGAUGGGUAGGGGAUCUGAGAGGACUUACCCCCACACUGGUACUGAGGCACGGACCAGACUCCUACGGGAGGCAGCAGUAAGGAAUAUUGGGCAAUGGCCGCGAGGCUGACCCAGCCAUGCCGCGUGCAGGAAGACGGCCUUAUGGGUUGUAAACUGCUUUUAUACGGGAAUAAUAGAGUGUACGCGUACAUUUAUGCAAGUAUCGUAUGAAUAAGCAUCGGCUAACUCCGUG
rnacentral:rRNA from 1 species